UACGUAGGGUGCAAGCGUUGUCCGGAAUUAUUGGGCGUAAAGAGCUUGUAGGCGGUUUGUCGCGUCUGCUGUGAAAUUUCGGGGCUCAACCCCGAACUUGCAGUGGGUACGGGCAGACUAGAGUGUGGUAGGGGAGACUGGAAUUCCUGGUGUAGCGGUGAAAUGCGCAGAUAUCAGGAGGAACACCGAUGGCGAAGGCGGUUCUCUGGGCCUUACCUGACGCUGAGGAGCGAAAGCGUGGGGAGCGAACAGG
rnacentral:rRNA from 1 species